rnacentral:rRNA from 1 species
CCUACGGGUGGCAGCAGUGGGGAAUAUUGCGCAAUGGGCGAAAGCCUGACCCAGCGACGCCGCGUGAGUGAUGAAGGUCUUCGGAUCGUAAACCUCUGUUAGCAGGGAAGAACGGUCACUGUGCUAAUCAGCAGUGCAUUGACGGUACCUGCACAGGAAGCACCGGCUAACUCCGUGCCAGCAGCCGCGGUAAUACGGAGGGUGCGAGCGUUAAUCGGAAUUACUGGGCGUAAAGCGCUCGUAGGCGGUAUGUCAAGUCUAGGGUGAAAUCCCCGGGCUCAACGUGGGAAGUGCUUUUGAAACUGGGAAACGGGAGUGUAGGAGAGGAUAGUGGAAUUCCAGGUGUAGGAGUGAAAUCCGUAGAUAUCUGGAGGAACAUCAGGGGCGAAGGCGACUAUCUGGCACAUAACUGACGCUGAGGAGCGAAAGCGUGGGUAGCAAACAGGAUUAGAUACCCGGGUAGUC